rnacentral:rRNA from 1 species
AGAACGAACGCUGGCGGCAGGCUUAACACAUGCAAGUCGAACGGUUGUAGCAAUACAGCAGUGGCAGACGGGUGAGUAACACGUGGGAACCUUCCUAGGGGUACGGAACAACUCAGGGAAACUUGAGCUAAUACCGUAUACGUCCGUGAGGAGAAAGAUUUAUCGCCCCUAGACGGGCCCGCGUAGGAUUAGGUAGUUGGUGAGGUAACGGCUCACCAAGCCUACGAUCCUUAGCUGGUCUGAGAGGAUGAUCAGCCACACUGGGACUGAGACACGGCCCAGACUCCUACGGGAGCAGCAGUGGGGAAUCUUGGACAAUGGGCGCAAGCCUGAUCCAGCCAUGCCGCGUGAGUGAAGAAGGCCUUCGGGUUGUAAAGCUCUUUUACCAGGGACGAUAAUGACGGUACCUGGAGAAUAGCCCCGCAAACUUCGAGCCAGCAGCCGC